GCUUAUGACGUUGUGGCCUUUACGUGAUGCAUGAUCAAAAACAUUCCGGACUCUAUCCUUAUCAAGUUAAAAUAGCCUAUCGCUGUUGCGAUUCGCCGAUUCACAAUAAAAAAAUUGUCGAGUUAUCACUAUAAAAAAUUGUCGAGUUAUAUCGCCAAGGAUGACCGUUCUUGGGUCGGAUAACACUGGUAUAAGCAGAAGUUUUCAAUAAAACAAAGAAAGGUAUAAGUUUUAAGAAAGGUAUAAGUUUUCGCGUUAUGCCAUUUGCCGGGGAUGAUUUGCCG
rnacentral:lncRNA from 1 species